GAAAUUUAUCUCCGUGAUUCUAGCGGCCACCUUUUUUCCUUAAUCUAAUAUAUUGAUAUUUAAAGACACCCGAUAUACGUCGAGCCUCGUUAACCGUCCACGUCUCUUCGACUACGACAUCCCUUUCCCGCGUCCUCGUAAAAGGAGCACUUCAUUGCCAGGAAACGUAACGCGUGCGGUUUUCUGGUGGCUAUCGAUUGCAGGUGUGGCUUACGGAUCCCCGCUGAUCGAUUUCAAGCGUCCGGUUAGCACAUGUCACUACCGUGUGUCUAUAAACCAGAAUCGAGCUGUCGAUCGGAGUCGAACGUCAAGUUUCACGCAACAGUUUCCAACGAGAAGAAAUAUAUAUAAAUUCACUUUCCGUUUUACGAUCGGGCUUAUUUAACGUGCCAUGGAUAAAAGCAGGAAACGGACGCGUGCGGUUGUUAUCAUCGAUCACUACUAUGAUCGUCUUUUUUUUAAGUCGUCCAUUUAAAUAUAUACGUAUACGGUAAAUUCGUGGUAAUCGUAGCCGAGAUCGCCGCGUCGAGACAAUUUCCGCGAUCACUCGCCUUAAAUCACGGAGAACGAACUAUUAGCCACGUAAUCCGAGGAUGCGAUUCGCCUAGAUUAUCCGAGUUUUCUCCCUCGUUAAGGAUUCAGGAAAUUGAUAAGAAGAACUUAGAAUCGAGUCAAAGUAGAGCUUUCGAUAUCGUUGCUGCGUGUGUCUUUCUUCUCUUGUUCGCACAGAUUAUCGCUGCUACUAUGUUUUCACGUAAUGAAAAAAAUAUGCAAAUUUACUACGCCCUGUAAUACAACGCGGGAACUCCAAGAUCCAAGGAUGUUGCACCUGGUCAUCUUGCUCGUUUUUACCCUCGCGUGAUUAAUAUUUCCUUUUCGCUCGAACUGUGUUCGAUCUCCAAUAAAAUAUCCAGUCAAGAUUCCAAAUCUUGACCUAACUUAACACGUAUAGUUACCAGCGUGUUAAAUUAUCUCGAAUCGGUUUAUCAUCAUUCGAAGAAUCCAAUCUUUCGAGAACACGAAACGUUCGAUUCGUUCCAUUGUUUUGUAGGCGAAAUGGAUCGCCAUCUCUCGUCUCGUUUCUCGCUUUCGAACGUCCUCGCUUUAUCGAAAUCAAUGUUCUUCGUUCCUAAUUACGGUGGUGUAAUCCAUCGCGAUGUCAGAAGACGAUCGUAAAGAUAUCGAUGACGAUGGCGACAAAAGGUUUACGAUCGCGAGUUUUUUUUCCCGUUACCCACCGACAUGUCGAGUUCUUUUCACGAUCGCGACGUCGAAACCGCGUCCUUGCGCUGUUAUUGCGCCACAAGAUUUUGUGGCCGAGGUCUCGAGCUCGUGGUAUAAACAUUUCAAGAGGCACGCUUCCUUCGCGAUGGACGUUGCUUUACGAUUGCACGGACGUACCCCGAGAAACCUUGAAUGGCGGAUCUCCGAGGCGUAGGCCCGAAGAAUAUACCUCCCAUUGGAUGCAUUGUGUUUUAUUAUGGAAACGCGUAAACGCGCGUGUCUCGUCCCGCUCUUGGUCGACCGCCUACACGCUCCAACUGGUUUACGUGGCCAGACGAAACCUCGAAACGAACCAGCCGGAACAAAAGCAGAAAUCGCCAAUGUCAUUGUUCACCGUGGAGACGUGUCGUGACGGAUGAUCAACCGAUGGGAUUACUUUUCACAUUUCUUUGCAACGAUUAAACGACGAAACGAUAUCGUUGC
rnacentral:lncRNA from 1 species